UCUACCUGGCCCAACCUUCCGUCAGCACAAACAUAUACCCACAUAUACGCACCAAACAGACCAUGAGCUCUUGUUGUUGAAGAGAAUAAGGAUUUCGAUUGAAACAAUAGGCGCUGCCUUGUCCUCUCUCCUCUCCCAUCGUGUCAACAGGCCAAAAAUGGCAAAUUUGCAGUGCAAAAUUGCUUUGUGCAGUGUUGUUCAACCGUUUGGAGCAAAGCAAUUAAUGCUUGCUCUCUCUCUCUCUCUCCACCAAAUACCAACUAAACGAGAGAGAAAGGAUCUUCCAACUCCAUUUUCGACCUAAGCUUCACAAAGAAAAGGUAAAUUUUCUUCCUUUUGUUUAUUUUUGUGCAUUUAAUGUUUUUUUCUAUGUAUUUAGCUUAAUUUAUGUUAGUGUUAGUGUUCGUGGUAGUUUGUUUUGGUUUGGUUCAGCGUAGCUAUGUUCUUAAUUAGUUGAUUAGCAUGAAUAUGCUUAUUCUUAAUUAGUAGAUUAUAUGUAUGGUCGAUUGAUAGUUUAGUUCAAAUUUUAGCUUAGUCAUUUGCCUAUGCAAGCAUUUCUAUUGUUCUGGUUUACUGUUGAUAAGUGGUAGUAGUGUUAGCAUGAUUUCCUUUAUUUUGGUUUGAUUAAUCAUCUAUUGCAUGUAGGUUCGCUUAGUUUGAUUUCUGUUUAUUGUUAGUUGAUGGUGGAUUGGUAUGGUUGUUUGUUUAAGCUAUUGGUAAAUCAGUCACUAGUAUGCUAAGCCUGAAUAGGUCAAAUGCUUAAAGGUUGGAUUGAAUUCUUUUGACUUUAGGUGGUUAAGUUUGGCCUAAUCCCAUUCAAAGAAGGUGUGACUUAUAAUGGAACCAACUAGUAUCCUCAUGUCCAUGUUAGUUAAGUCUGAACUGUGUUAAGUUUUUGCCUGCUACUCCUAUGUGUGUAUUAUUCAGCUUCAAUCUAGAGGGGGACAUUCUAUGAUUUAGUAGAUGACUAGAGAAUUAGUGACACAAGGCAAAAAUUGUCAAAUGUAACUAUGCAUAUCUUUCUAAAUGCCUGUUUAGGUUAGGAAUGGUCUUCCCAUGAAUUAGGAUAAUCUCAUUUUGUUGUUAGGAAGUCUACCUAGCUCGUUUUGUAACACCAUGUAGUCUUUAACUGAUUUAGGAUCAAUAUAGGUCUAAAUGAAUUGAACACCUGUUUGUCUAUAUGUGUAUAAGACCAUGAAUCUGCCUGUUCACUUAAUGUUUAUCUAGAACUUACUUUAAACAUUGAAAUGAUGGUAUGCCUUGAUAUCUGUGUAGCUUGUUGGUGCCUAUCCUAUGUUUACUUACCCCCCCCCCCCCCCCUGCGCAUGUAUGUUCAGUUUGAGACUAUUGCUAGGAUUCAAUCACCUAGUCUGAGUGUUCACUUCUUAAAACAAACGUCUGAAUUUGGAGGAAGUAAGUUGGGGUAGUUCAUAACUCUUUAAAACGAAAGUAUGUCUUUAUGUGUGAAAAUGACCAGUCAUGCUCCUUUAUUCUGUGUCCUUUUUAUUUUCGUCUAUGUAUGCUAACGUGCAUUCAUAUAUGAUCAAGUUAUCCUAUUUUUCUUGAAAUUGAACCUGUCCUCUAUGUAUUUGUUUAAAAUUUCAAAGGCUAGCAUAAACUCUCCUCUGAGAAUUGAAAAAUAUGACAUGUUUUGCACUGUUUUUGCCUUAUGAGACUUUAUAUGCAUAUUUUGAGGAUAAAUUGACCCUGUUGCAUCUAGAAGUGGCUUUAAGCUUUUCUCUGUUACGCUUCCCUUUUGUUUUGAUUCUGUGUCGAUAUUUAUGCUGAUGUACAUGAGAUAUACAAGGAAUAUAUGGUCUAUUUACACUCUGGCGCAUAUAAGGGGGGAUAUACCUUGUAUAUCAUUGAGAUUAACUUGUGAGUUUUGUCUUGUAUACUUUGUGGUGAGUCUUUUGGCCUAAUCUUCCUACGUAUGUAUUCUAUUAGGCCUAUCCUAUCUGAUUCUAGUAUUGGGCUUCUUUUCCUUCAUCUUUUGUGUUUUGGGCUUGCUUGCUUUUAACUUGUAGUCUGUGUUGGGCCUUGUUGCAUCUGUUUUCUUUGAAGCACAAAUGUGUAUACGUAGUAAAUGUCAUAUAUAUAUAUAUAUGACUUAUAUACAUUGCUAUUUUCUUCCUUAAACUUUAUUUGAUUUUAUGAAUAAGUAUAGAGGCCUCUCUAACCGUAUUUCCCUUUUUCCCCUCUUUGUUUGCAUGGGACCUUGACAUGGGCCACUUGGGUGAUUUUCUUGCAUUAAACCUAUUGGGCCAGAGGCCCAACACUCUUUUGUUGAUCGAGUCCAAACUGAAAAGUGAUUGAUGGCUCAACCAUGGGCGAAAAUGGCAACUAGUGGGCUUCGAUAGGCCCACUAUCCUAAACUCUCUUCUCUUCCUUUUAAUUUAUGUAUUUGUAUAUAUAUAUUCGUAUAUGUAAAUGAAUGCUAUUUGAUUAUUGAAA